rnacentral:lncRNA from 1 species
AUGUCAAUGCUAAAUCGAGCCACUAUGAAGCAGCCAGUCUGGGGGAAGCAGCUGAUGUGUAAUUCCGUAGCAGCCUUUGUGCCAUUCUAUCUCAAACCUCAUCCUUGGUGGAAGCUGGUAAUGCCGAAUACAGGAGGAGCUCCCUCAGCUCUGCGCUGGAGCACAGCAGAUACAAGAAGGGGAAGGUUGAACACCUCAGCCUUGAGUCAAGCACGGUUGGCAGCUUUUCAGCAGGAUCUUUCCAUGCAGCUGUGUUAAAGCUUUAACCAUCAGCACCCAGCCUUGUUUUUCGGUCUAAGCUCCUCAAGGGCCAGCCUGCAGCAGAGGAGCCAAACCUUGGCCUUUCAGCACAUGGUCCCUGCAGCCUGUGUCCCGUUGAUGCCCCAGCAACCCAACAGCCCACAGUGAUCCAACAUCCUGCACUCCCAGUUCCUUUUCAUUCCACUGUGCAGCCGUAGGCAAGCCGUUGCUGGGCAUCUUCAUGACUAGAUGGUGUGACUCCACGCUGGCACAGCGCCCUCCAUUUCCCAUGGAAGGUGAGUUUCUAACUGUGCUUGUGCUUUAGGUGAGCCCUUUUAAGCAAACAUACAUGGCCUU